UAUUAGUGAUGAAUAAUAAUUUAGUCAGUUCUGCUACUGAAUGUAUUGAGGAUAAUAAAUCAUAUUCUGAAAU